rnacentral:rRNA from 1 species
AAUAUUGGACAAUGGGGGAAACCCUGAUCCAGCCAUCCCGCGUGUAUGAUGAAGGCCUUCGGGUUGUAAAGUACUUUUGGCAGAGAAGAAAAGGUAUCUCCUAAUACGAGAUACUGCUGACGGUAUCUGCAGAAUAAGCAUCGGCUAACUACGUCCGAGCAGCCGCGGAAAUAGGUCGGGUGCAAGCGUUAAUCGGAUUACUGGGCGUAAGGCGUGGGUAGGCGGUUAGGAAAGAAAGAUGGGAAAUCCCAGGGCUCAACCUUGGAACUGCAUUGUUAACUGCCGAGCUAGAGUAUGUCAGAGGGGGGUAAAAUUCCACGUGUAGCAGUGAAAUGCGUAGAUAUGUGGAGGAAUACCGAUGGCGAAGGCAGCCCCCUGGGAUAAUACUGACGCUCAGACACGAAAGCGUGGGGAGCAAACA